CGAACGUUGGCGGCGUGCUUAACACAUGCAAGUCGAACGAGAACGGUUUCUUCGGAAACCUAGUACAGUGGCGCACGGGUGAGUAACGCGUAAGUAAUCUACCCUCGCAUCUGGAAUAACUACGGGAAGCUGUAGCUAAUACCGGAUACGUUCAUAGAGUUACGACUCUAUUAAGAAAGAUGGCCUCUUCUUGAAAGCUAUCGUGCGGGGAGGAGCUUGCGUACCAUUAGCUAGUUGGUAGGGUAAUGGCCUACCAAGGCAACGAUGGUUAGCGGGUCUGAGAGGAUGAUCCGCCACACUGGAACUGGAACACGGACCAGACUCCUACGGGAGGCAGCAGUGAGGAAUAUUGCGCAAUGGGGGAAACCCUGACGCAGCGACGCCGCGUGGAUGAUGAAGGCCUUUGGGUCGUAAAAUCCUGUCAGGUGGGAAGAAGUGCAUAUGGGUUAAUAUCUCUUAUGUUUGACGGUACCACCAAAGGAAGCACCGGCUAACCCC
rnacentral:rRNA from 1 species